rnacentral:rRNA from 1 species
UAAAACGGACGGAGCCGUCAUUGGCCCGCUGGAAUCAGUCGUAUGACGCGCGAUGACGCGCAUCGCCGGAACGAAUAGUCUGGCUAACGCGUUUGGAUAGAGUAGCGCUUAUUCGAUGCAUUUCCAGUGGGUAUGCGUCGCGACCGAUGCGAAAGGCUAGUGAAACUGGCGAAUUGAGGGCGAAUACCCUCCGGGUUCUUCGUAACCAGUUCGUCAGUCUUUAGUCGCUAGACCGUAGUAUGCAUCGAGCGCAGAAAGAAAUAACGCCGGUGUGUAGUACUCAUUUAAUCGAUGGAAAGUCGGCUUAUUACUCUAUACCUGCUCGCAGGUUAUGGGUGGAUAGAGGUCGCCUAUGAAGUCGAUGGUGAGUAUCCGGCGUUAAGGCGUCAGCGGCGUCCGAGACGGUCAACCGUCCGACCCGUCUUGAAACACGGACCAAGGAGUCUAACGUACGCGCGAGCUAAUGAGUAGAAAACUCAUAAGCGCAAUAAAAGUGAAAGCCGUUUUGGACGGUGUAGGGUACGAUCCUCGGACUUCAUACACCCGAGGCGCAGUACCGUCCCAUCCUAAUCGCUCGUCGAUAGGGUGGAGACUGAGUGCAUACGUUGGGACCCGAAAGAUGGUGAACUAUGCCUGAGCAGAGCGAAGCCAGAGGAAACUCUGGUGGAGGUUCGUAGCGGUUCUGACGUGCAAAUCGAUCGUCAGACUUGGGUAUAGGGGCGAAAGACUAAUCGAACCAUCUAGUAGCUGGUUCCCCCUGAAGUUUCCCUCAGGAUAGCUGAUACUCGAGGGUUAACGAAGUUUUAUCCGGUAAAGCGAAUGAUUAGAGGCAUUGGGGACAAAAUGACCUCAACCUAUUCUCAAACUUUAAAUGGGUAAGAAGCCUCGCUUGCUUGAUCGAAGCAUGGCGAAAGAAUUCGAGUAUCAAGUGGGGCCAUUUUUGGUAAGCAGAACUGGCGCUGCGGGAUGAACCGAACGGCGAGUUAAGGCGCCCGAAUAAACGCUCAUCAGAGCCCAGGAAA